CACGUAGGGCGCAAGCGUUGUCCGGAAUUAUUGGGCGUAAAGAGCUCGUAGGCGGUCUGUUGCGUCCGCUGUGAAAACUCGGGGCUUAACCCCGAGCCUGCAGUGGAUACGGGCAGACUAGAGGUAGGUAGGGGAGAAUGGAAUUCCCGGUGUAGCGGUGAAAUGCGCAGAUAUCGGGAGGAACACCGGUGGCGAAGGCGGUUCUCUGGGCCGGUAUUGACGCUGAGACGCGAAAGCGUGGGGAGCAAACAGG
rnacentral:rRNA from 1 species